rnacentral:lncRNA from 1 species
GGGAUACUCCGGCCUCUGCAUCAGCAUGAUGCAUACGACCCUCUUAUUAAACAAAAUAGAGUAGUAUCAACAAGGUUCCAAAGGUCCUGAAAAAUGAAAAAAAAAAAGAAAGCAACACAAGCUCACACAGAGCCCGGAUAAGCUGGAUACAUCAAGCUAGCCACAUCAAAGAGCCACAACCGGCGGGGCAAACUAGAUAGGAAUACUAAAUGCCUAUCCUAUUACAUGACCGCCAUCCAAACCGGUUGAAGAUAUCCCGAGCUACCAUCUCCCAACGGACAGACCCAGUAACCAAAUGCUCCCUGGCCUCCGUCUGGGUGAGUAGCGACCAUGAACGAAUCAGAGCCGUAGUCCGGAAUAAAACCUGCAAAAAAUGUAUAUAUGAUGUUCUGUUAAAGACCAAAUCGUUUCUGCAGUUCCAGAUGGUCCACAGCAAAGCACAAACCCCCACCCGAAUAUGUCUCCCUAAGUUGGGCUCAAUCCCAUUAAGCCAUGUCCCAAACAAAGUACUAACAGAAUUCGGUGGUUUGAUGUUAAAAGCAAUGUGGACCGUCACCUGUCUCUCGGUCCCUGUUCGCAACAAUAUCAUUAUGCCGCCUGUUACUAUCUGCUUUGUUGACAAUCAUAUCUGAUCCCAAGGGAUCCCUCGCAGCUUCCCCAUGUGGAUCACUCAAAUCAGUACAGGACGGGAUGUUGAGAAAAUAGGAUCAGUUAACCACUUCAUCUAGAUUAUUUGCCUUGCUACCCCCAGGGACACACGUCUAGGAAUUCCAGUAUUAGUUCGCUUCCUCCAAUUAAAUCCAAACACUCUGAAUCUGGUGCAUGGUCAAAUUGAAUGGCAGGAAGCAAGAGUCCAUGGAUUGCGGAUUAAAAAAAUCACCAUCAUGCUAUAGGAGUGAGCAGUUUAUAAGGGAGGAAGAUGUACCUGUAGAAGCAUUCAGAUUCACCAACCACGCAUCCGCGGCGACGCGGCGAGGGCUUCAAUUUGUCCCGUCCAGGAAGGAGAUAAGCGUCGGCCGUGGGGGGAUUCAAUGCCCGCUGACUUUCUAGGAGAGAAAAGUAACGAAUCUGGAGGAGUGCGUACACCUAUCUGUGCUGAUGACGAAGGGAGUGGAGAAGAUGGUGUGGGAUAAAAAAGGCCAUCAUUUUUUUUGGAAAAUAGGAUGGGCGAGAAGAGGGAGGGGCACCUGGUGAAUCUCGAGCAGAUGCGUGG